UAUAAGCAAAAGGUCUAAAGACGCUAUCCCCAGGUUUCACAGGCUUAAUCUAAACGCUGUCUUUGACCUACAUAAUAUAGCAUUUUUGUGAUUUUGCUGUAAACAUGUUUUAUAAUGCAUAACUAACAGGGGAGCUCCAUUAAGUACACGAAUCAAUAGUGGAUUUACAUAAACCAUAUAUACUUCUUGAAGACUAUUACUAAAUGUCUAUUUAUCAUCUGACUGGAUAAUGUUUGAUAAAUAUUGUAGAUGAGCACAUCUAACAGACAUGAAACAGGUGUCUGAGUGAUGUGAUGUGAUAUUGUGUAGAAUUCACUUUUGUCAACACUGCUAUAGAUGGGUGUAAGUCAUGUAAACAAACAAAUCUACAUAAAGUAACUAAACAUAAGUUAUGUAUUUUAUUUGUCCAUUUGCAAUAUUGAUAAUUUAAGGAACAUUUGUGUUGGAUAAAAAGUGAGUUACAUCAGUUAUUAACUCAACAUGUAAAUGCAGUAUAUCACAGAUAUAUGACAGAGGAGACUGACUCUUGUUUGGAUGUUACAGGGACAGAUGAGACACACGUGUGUUUAUCUGCUGCAGAGACACUGAUGAAGGAAUGCUGCCAUCAAAAAGGAUUUGUGUAAGUCUGUAGACUGGUGUGUGCACUGAGCAUGGAGAAGACCACAGCAUCAUCCUGGAAAUGAUCGAGAGUCACAGAUGACACGCUCCCUCACUCCACCUGCCCUUUACUGUCUCAUCAGGACCAGAUGCUGCUAGGGGAUGUGAUUUUGGUAAAGUUUGUUCGGCUGGAUACUGUUUAAACAAUGAAGGCUGACUUUCAGAAGCUUCAAAAGCAUCAUCAAAAAAUGUGAUGGAGCUUUUAUCUGAAGUGAUUGACAGUGCUCUUAUUACAGGGGCCUACAAUCCCCUGAUCAACCUGGAGAAAAGAGCCGUGCUCAAGGACAUACUUGUGUUCCUGUGGCUCAAGUGGUAGAGCAUUGCGUUAGCAGUGCAAGGUUGUGGGUUCGAAUACCAGGGAACACAUGUUAGGUAAAAACUGUUAGUCUGAAUGCACUGUAAGUCACUUUGGAUAAAUGAAUAAUUAAUUUAUAAAUUUGAACUACUUCAGUGGUUUAGCCCACUACAAAAGUAAUAAAUCAAUGCAUGUACUUGUAAACUCUGUGUAAAUUUUUUUCAGGUAGUCGUGCU